rnacentral:lncRNA from 1 species
GCUGAUUCGCCUGCUUGACGCGUGGAUGCCUUGAUUUGGUCUGACAAGUGGAGGCUACUGUGAGAAGCGGCCUGGAUUUUUGACAUUCAGUGAACAGAAGCUAAGUGGACACAGCUGCUUAAAAUUUGCUGGAACUUCAAUGUUUUCUUGGAGAAUGAUUCAGACGAACAGGAAAAAUAACGAACAGUAAAC